UCUCAUCUUUAUUGCUCGGUUACUCCUUUUUUUCCGGGACCCUGUUUCUUCUUGCACAUUGGUUUCAUCUUUUGUGUGGCUUUCGAGUACACUAGUGGAGAAAAAAUCAUCUUUUUCUUCCACUUUCCCACUUUUUAAACUGUUGCCCCUCUGCUUGGUUUGUUAUCCAAUGCAUAGAUUUUUCUUUUCCUGUUUGUGGGUUCUUUGGGUUCCCAUUAGAUCUCUAAAGGUUGAACCUUGAUGUUGUGUUUUGUUGUUUUGAAGAAAUUUUAUAAUUUUCUGUUGUCCUGUUGGUUCUUGGUAUCUGUUUGCAGUUCUGUUUUUCUCCUUCUACCCGUGCAUUGGGUUUCCUUGUGUUUUCUUGGGGUUUCUGAUGAGAAUUCUGAUGUCUGGUGAAAAUGGUUUAGGCUUGAAGUUGAAUUGCCGGAGUUAAGGGAAUGUUUGUUAUUUUUUUGUGUCGUAGGAUGGGGCUUUAAGUAAUUGUGAUAUGCUGGUGUCAAAUCUCUUUUCAUGAGGGUGUUUUCCUGCAAAUUCUACUGCCCCUUCAUCUGCUCCUCGAAGUCAUCCCUACGCCUUUACUCACCUUGCGCUUUGAGAUCGGAAGAUAUCGAGCAUGCUUCUUCUGGUCCAUGUCCGAUUACUCAUGGCCUGGAGGAGAGGUUACCAGAUGAAAAAAUGGUGGUCGAGAAGAUUGAUGGAUUAGUCCACGGGAAAGUUGAGACCUUGCUAAAAAGCAGCCUUAAGAAGUCAUCUGGGUCUGGUCUGAAAGAGGUUGGAAAGAGGAGGGUUAAGUGGAUGGAUAUGGUGGGAAAGGAACUUGUUGAAAUCAAAGAAUUUGAACCCAUGAUUCGUGGAUAUGGAUGUGUGUGCUACUAAUAUCCAACCCAUAUCCAGUCUAUUUCAGCUCUACCUGAUCAAGUUGUAGCAAUCUAAUCCACUCAAGGCCUACUUUCUGGAGAUCACGAAAGAGAGAAAUUUUCCAUGAUGCCUGUUCAUGAAUUUAAUCAGACGUAAGGAUGAGUUAAGAAAAUAGUCAGCGAUAGAGGUUUCCAGUUGAUUGGAUUGACUGGAUGAUUCAUGAUGUAAACGAUCAUGGUGAGAAGUAUAAAAGUUUUAACUUGUGCAAGAGAUGGUGUAACAGACUUAAAUGCACACAAGUGAACCGGGAGAGUUAGAUGACAAUGACCAUGGCAACCCAGCGUGUAUUUGUGUUAUCCAAUGACCAAGUGAUCCAUCUCAAGAGACCAAGCACUUGCUCGUCAUCCAGCUACUGUGAAUUAAAGAUUCAAAUUUUCUCAAUUGAUAUGCUGUGGUACCUAGUGUCUUUUACUCUCAUUUCCUGAUUUAAAUUGUUUUCCUUUCUCCUGACUUUUUUUUUUUAAAGAUGUCAGGUAGGCACACUAUUUGCUUGUUCUCUCCAGAUUCAUUCUGGUAAAGCUAGCGGGGAUCAAUUGUUUUUUUCCUUUGAACAUAAGGAUGUUUUGUGAUUGACUGAAUGAUAAUACUAUACGUUUUCAUUUCUGCCCACUUUCA